rnacentral:rRNA from 1 species
UACGAAGGGUCCAAGCGUUGUUCGGAAUCAUUGGGCGUAAAGCGCGCGCAGGCGGAUCAGCAAGUCAGGUGUGAAAUCUCGAGGCUCAACCUCGAAACUGCGCCUGAAAACUGCUAGUCUAGAAUGUCGGAGGGGGGCAGGGGGAAAUUUCACGUGUAGGGGGUAAAAAUCCGUAGAGAUGUGAAGGAACACCCGGAGGCGAAGGCGC